rnacentral:rRNA from 1 species
CCACCCCUGACUACCGUACCACUGUUGCUUUGGCAGGCCCGCCCCCCGGGGGCCGCCGGCGGUAAGCUGGCCCGUGCCUGCCAGAGGACCACAAAACCCGAGUCGUGUGUUGUCUGAGCGUCAUAUAGAAUAAGUUAAAACUUUCAACAACGGAUCUCUUGGUUCUGGCAUCGAUGAAGAACGCAGCGAAAUGCGAUAAGUAAUGUGAAUCGCAGAAUUCAGUGAAUCAUCGAAUCUUUGAACGCACAUUGCACCCCCUGGCACCCAGGGGGUAUGCCUGUCCGAGCGUCGUCACGACCCUCGAGCUCCCCGGAGCUCGGCGUUGGGUGCGGCCCCGAUCACCGGGACCCUCCCCAAACCAGUGGCGGCGUGGCCCGGUCCGAGCGCAGUAGACUUCUCUCGCUCAGGGCUGGCGGCGUGCGGCCAGCAGAUUCAGCACACCAAGGUGACUCGAUCGGUAGACACCCGC